CCUACGGGUGGCAGCAGUAGGGAAUCUUGCGCAAUGGAGGCAACCCUGAUGCAGCGACGCCGCGUGAGUGAAGAAGUAUUUCGGUACGUAAAACUCUAUCGGCAGAGAAGAACAUGACGUUACCUGACUAAGAAGCCCCGGCUAACUUCGUGCCAGCAGCCGCCGUAAUACGUAGGGGGCAAGCGUUCUCCGGAUUUACUGUGUGUAAAGGGAGCUGAGACGGCAGCGCAAGUCUGGAGUGAAAUCCCAUGGCUUAACCAUGGAAGUGCUUUGGAAACUGUGCAGCUGGAGUGCAGGAGAGGUAAGCGGAAUUCCGAGUGUAGCGGUGAAAUGCGUAGAUAUUAGGAGGAACACCAGUGGCGAAGGCGGCUUACUGGUCUGUAACUGACGUUGAGGCUCGAAAGCGUGGGGAGCAAACAGGAUUAGAGACCCUGGUAGUC
rnacentral:rRNA from 1 species